GCCAGAGUGGUAUAGUGGGUUGAGCAUUGGACUAUGACUCUGGAGACAAGGGUUUGAAUCCCCACCUUGCCA